rnacentral:rRNA from 1 species
UACGUAGGGUGCAAGCGUUGUCCGGAAUUAUUGGGCGUAAAGAGCUCGUAGGCGGUCUGUCGCGUCGGCUGUGAAAACCCGAGGCUCAACCUCGGGCCUGCAGUCGAUACGGGCAGGCUAGAGUGCGGUAGGGGGAGACUGGAAUUCCUGGGUGUAGCGGUGAAAUGCGCAGAUAAUCAGGAGGAACACCGGUGGCGAAGGCGGGUCUCUGGGCCGUAACUGACGCUGAGGAGCGAAAGCGUGGGGAGCGAACAGG